CGAGCGCCCGCAAGGGAGCGGCAGACGGGUGAGUAACGCGUGGGAACGUACCUUUUGCUACGGAAUAACUCAGGGAAACUUGUGCUAAUACCGUAUGUGCCCUUCGGGGAAAGAUUUAUCGGCAAAGGAUCGGCCCGCGUUGGAUUAGCUAGUUGGUGAGGUAAAGGCUCACCAAGGCGACGAUCCAUAGCUGGUCUGAGAGGAUGAUCAGCCACACUGGGACUGAGACACGGCCCAGACUCCUACGGGAGGCAGCAGGC
rnacentral:rRNA from 1 species